rnacentral:lncRNA from 1 species
AAAGUUAUUUUCCUCUUUGUUGAUUCCCUGGCAUUUCCUCCCCUAACCUCAACUCCACAGGAGCACCAAUUACCUUCACAUGUGAUGGGAUUCACUUACCUGGGGAGGAGUGGAGAGAGGAGGAAUCUACCCUGGUACUCCAGUAACAAACCCUGGCAUGGACAGUGGAAGCGGGACCUCCACUGCGAGUAGAUCUCAUUAGCAUCAGCUGCUCCCAGCAUAAAAACAGCACAAUUUUCUUCCCAAGGCAUCUCUCUGAUCAUUAGUGAUAGCUCCACGGGACUGAGUGUACAUGAUUCUAACCAGUAAAGGAGAACUUGGGAAGUGUUGCUGUCUGAUACCAUGAACUGGAGAGGAAGAAGUUCUGCUUUGGGAAUGUUAGAAACCUCUCCUGUUAACAGAGUGGAAGAAGGGAGGCAGGAAGUGAGAGAAGAUGUGGCCAGGAGGCAGUAAUGGUAGCAUGACCCCAGAGGACAGACAGCAAACCUCGGCCGGCUCCAAAGGCGUGACAGAUGUAGGUGUGUCAUGAUUGUUUGGUGGUGGAGGUGGGGUGAGGUGGGAUAUUUGUUGGGGAUGGCUCUGAGGAGAAUUUGUGAAGGGAAAAAGGCUUUUUGGUUGCAUUUUAUGCUUAAAUGAAAAUUACUGCAAAGCCCUUUAUAAAUUAUAUAAUUGUACUCCCUUUAGAUUUCAUGCCCUUCAUUGCUAUUAUUAAUGAUGGCUGUCACUCCACUCUCU